rnacentral:rRNA from 1 species
UACGGAGGGUGCAAGCAUUAAUCGGAUUUAUUGGGCGUAAAGGGCGCGUAGGCGGAUCUGAAAGUCAGAUGUGAAAUUUCGAAACUCAAUUUCGGAGCUGCAUUUGAAACUUCAAGUCUAGAGGAAUGGCGGAGAAAAUGGAAUUCCACGUGUAGCGGUGAAAUGCGUAGAUAUGUGGAAGAACACCUGUGGCGAAAGCGGUUUUCUAGCUUUCUCCUGACGCUGAGGCGCGAGAGCAAGGGGAGCAAACAGG